ACCCGAAACCAGGUGAUCUACCCUUGGUCAGGUUGAAGUUCAGGUAACACUGAAUGGAGGACCGAACCGACUUACGUUGAAAAGUGAGCGGAUGAACUGAGGGUAGCGGAGAAAUUCCAAUCGAACCUGGAGAUAGCUGGUUCUCUCCGAAAUAGCUUUAGGGCUAGCCUCAAGUGAUGAUUAUUGGAGGUAGAGCACUGUUUGGACGAGGGGCCCCUCUCGGGUUACCGAAUUCAGACAAACUCCGAAUGCCAAUUAAUUUAACUUGGGAGUCAGAACAUGGGUGAUAAGGUCCGUGUUCGAAAGGGAAACAGCCCAGACCACCAGCUAAGGU
rnacentral:rRNA from 1 species